rnacentral:rRNA from 1 species
UACAGAGGUCCCAAGCGUUGUUCGGAUUCAUUGGGCGUAAAGCGUGCGUAGGCGGUUCGCUGUGUCCGAUGUGAAAGCCCCGGGCUUAACCUGGGAAUGGCAUUGGAAACUGGCGGGCUUGAGUGUGGCAGAGGGGGGUGGAAUUCCGCGUGUAGCAGUGAAAUGCGUAGAGAUGCGGAGGAACACCGAUGGCGAAGGCAGCCCCCUGGGUUAACACUGACGCUCAGGCACGAAAGCGUGGGGAGCAAACAGG